rnacentral:rRNA from 1 species
UGAGGGAAAGUUGCAAAGAACUUUGAAGAGAGAGUUCAAGAGUACGUGAAACUGCUCAGGGGCAAACGGGUGGGCCCUCGAAUUCCCCCCGCGGAGAGAUUCAGUCCGGAGCGACAGGGGCGCGGCGGGAAACGGACCCUCGAGAAGGACGGUCCCCGCCGCGCGGUCCCGGUAGCGCCGGACGCACUUCUCCCCGCACCAGGGACGCCGCGACGGAUCGGGUAGCAGCGAGAGUCGGCCUUGCGGCGGACCCAGGCAGGUGGCCGGACGGUCGGGCCCAGUUCCCGGCCCCCGGUCAUUCACGGGACCGCACGUGGCGCGACACCCGAUCGAGGUCGGAGUCUCCCGCCCGGGAGACGUCCCCGUCUCCGUCCGAAACUCCGGGCGCGGUGCCCGGGCCAGUGAGCGCCGGCGACGCCGAACCACUCCAGUCAGUGGCCGGCGCGACGGCUGCCGCCGUUGGGCCCGGGUCGCACCGCAGGAGAGGCGAAGGAACGGUCGGCGGCGAGUAGGUCGGUCACCCACCCGUCCCGUCUUGAAACACGGACCAAGGAGUCUAACACGUGCGCGAGUCGCAGGGUCUUGAACAGGCCCGCGGGCGCAAUGAAAGUGAAGGUCCCCCCCGCGGGACCGAGCUGGGACUCCCGGACGAGAGUCCGGGAAGCACCAGCGACCCGUCCCGUCCGACCCGUCGGUGGGGCGGAGUCCGAGCGCACGCGUUGGCACCCGAAAGAUGGUGAACUAUGCCUGGGCAGAACGAAGCCAGAGGAAACUCUGGUGGAGGUUCGUAGCGGUUCUGACGUGCAAAUCGAUCGUCAGACCCGGG